UUUGGCAAUGGUAGAACUCGCACU
rnacentral:ncRNA from 4 species